AGUGAACGCUGGCGGUAGGCCUAACACAUGCAAGUCGAACGGCCGCACAGUAAGAUCUCGCUCUUACGGGUGGCGAGUGGCGGACGGGUGAGGAAUACAUCGGAUUCUACUUUUUCGUGGGGGAUAACGUAGGGAAACUUACGCUAAUACCGCAUAUGACCUACGGGUGAAAGCAGGGGAUCUUCGGACCUUGCGUGAUUGAAUGAGCCGAUGUCGGAUUAGCUAGUUGGCGGGGUAAAGGCCCACCAAGGCGACGAUCCGUAGCUGGCCUGAGAGGAUGAUCAGCCACACUGGAACUGAGACACGGUCCAGACUCCUACGGGAGGCAGCAGUGGGGAAUCUUGGACAAUGGGCGCAAGCCUGACCCAGCCAUACCGCGUGGGUGAAGAAGGCCUUCGGGUUGUAAAGCCCUUUUGUUGGGAAAGAAAAGCAGCAGGUUAAUCCCCCGCUGUCCUGACGGUACCCAAAGAAUAAGCCCCGGCUAACUUCGUG
rnacentral:rRNA from 1 species